AUGCAGAACGCCGCGUGAGUGAUGAUAGGCCUUCGGGUUGUAAAGCUCUGUCUUUGGGGACGAUAAUGACGGUACCCAAGGAGGAAGCCACGGCUAACUACGUGCCAGCAGCCGCGGUAAUA
rnacentral:rRNA from 1 species